GAUGAACGCUAGCUACAGGCUUAACACAUGCAAGUCGAGGGGCAGCAUGGUCUUAGCUUGCUAAGACUGAUGGCGACCGGCGCACGGGUGAGUAACACGUAUCCAACCUGCCGUCUACUCUUGGACAGCCUUCUGAAAGGAAGAUUAAUACAAGAUGGCAUCAUGAGUCCACAUGUUCACAUGAUUAAAGGUAUUCCGGUAGACGAUGGGGAUGCGUUCCAUUAGAUAGUAGGCGGGGUAACGGCCCACCUAGUCUUCGAUGGAUAGGGGUUCUGAGAGGAAGGUCCCCCACAUUGGAACUGAGACACGGUCCAAACUCCUACGGGAGGCAGCAGUGAGGAAUAUUGGUCAAUGGGCGAGAGCCUGAACCAGCCAAGUAGCGUGAAGGAUGACUGCCCUAUGGGUUGUAAACUUCUUUUAUAAAGGAAUAAAGUCGGGUAUGCAUACCCGUUUGCAUGUACUUUAUGAAUAAGGAUCGGCUAACUCCGUGCCAGCAGCCGCAGUAAUAC
rnacentral:rRNA from 1 species